UGUGAAACUGCGAAUGGCUCAUUAUAUCAGUCAUAGUUUAUUUGAAAGUCCCUUACUACAUGGAUAACCGUAGUAAUUCUAGAGCUAAUACAUGCAUAAAAGCCCAACUGCCUCGGCGGACGGGUUGCAUUGAUUAGACCGAAACCAAUGCGUCUUC
rnacentral:rRNA from 1 species